GAUGAACGCUGGCGGCGUGCCUAAUACAUGCAAGUCGAGCGAACAGACGAGGAGCUUGCUCCUCUGACGUUAGCGGCGGACGGGUGAGUAACACGUGGAUAACCUACCUAUAAGACUGGGAUAACUUCGGGAAACCGGAGCUAAUACCGGAUAAUAUAUUGAACCGCAUGGUUCAAUAGUGAAAGACGGUUUUGCUGUCACUUAUAGAUGGAUCCGCGCCGCAUUAGCUAGUUGGUAAGGUAACGGCUUACCAAGGCAACGAUGCGUAGCCGACCUGAGAGGGUGAUCGGCCACACUAGAACUGAGACACGGUCCAGACUCCUACGGGAGGCAGCAGUAGGGAAUCUUCCGCAAUGGGCGAAAGCCUGACGGAGCAACGCCGCGUGAGUGAUGAAGGUCUUCGGAUCGUAAAACUCUGUUAUUAGGGAAGAACAAAUGUGUAAGUAACUAUGCGCGUCUUGACGGUACCUAAUCAGAAAGCCACGGCUAACUACGUG
rnacentral:rRNA from 1 species